rnacentral:lncRNA from 1 species
GAGGAAGCCCCUGCUCCCUCCCUGUUUCAAGAAGUCUGGGGUUGUAAGAGGAUGAGCUUCUCUGUGUAACGAAAGGAGGAGACUGAGUGAUCCCUGAUUAAUCCGGAAGCUGCUCCCCCAGCAGGACCUGGCGCGACGCCAGGGAAGGUUGGACUGAAUUUCAGGGGCCUGGUCGGAAGGCUCUCAGGGAGGUUUCCAUGGUGUCUUGGGGGCUUUGACACCGAGAACUCUUGGCUUCCAGACAGUGUCUUGGAAACCCGGAAACAGAUGUGCCGCGGCAUAAUGCAAAUAAAGAGCCAGGCUGCUGCAGGAAGUGCUCCCGGGAUGGAGGGCCUGGCGCUCGCCAGGCUGAUCUUCUCAUUAUAGCAUGCAGAUGAAAUGUCAUCCGCUAUUGGCUGUGAUAUAGAUCCACAAGAGAGAUAUAUAGAUUUGCGUGGUGCCAGUAACACACAAAUUGGCUUUCUAAAGCCUCUAGUAUUUGAAAUACUCUUUCACAAAUAUAACCAACUC